CUUAAAAGGCAUCCCUGUCCUCUCCUUGUCUUAAAAGCAGUGGGAAAGGCUGCACAGAAUGUGAAGCUUAGGAGUUUUGUAGUAAAGGAUAGUUUUUGAAGGUAAUUUUUGUACAUUCUCAUCUGAUCCUUAAAACAAGCCUGUAAAAAAGGUAGACUGUGCUUUGCUGCAGAACUUUGCUUUGAAAACAGGGGUGGCUGCCAGUUCACAGUUGCUUCCAGGGGCACACACUCCCUCCCUCCUUCCUCUAUUUCUCUUCUUGCCUUCUGUGUCCCAAUUCUAGUCCUAGCAGAUGGAUUACUCUGUCCACUUAACACACCUGCUAAGUCUUGCUUGAAUUACUCUAACAUAUGAAUGUUCCUUGGACUCUUGGUUAAUUCAAGUCCAAAGCACAGGACACUUGCCAAUUAAU
rnacentral:lncRNA from 1 species